AGAAUGGUCGUGCGGGAUCAUUCAAGGCAGUGCCUGGUCCAAUACUGAGGUAAUAUUGGACCGGCAAUGAGGUAAUCUGAUUGGUUGAUUUUAGUUAUUGGCCCUCUGAAUUAACUUAGUCGUGUAAUAAUUAUGCUUAUUUCCCCAAGGGUACGAACCAAUUAACUGACGUGAUGCAAAACUGAAACUGAGGUAUUCACAAAGAGACCAAAAUGCCACGUGAAUUAUGUUCAAUCACUGUUAACAGGGUGUGAAAAUCUUGUGUGCUGCGGUCAACUGGGACUGAAGAGUAGUCUUUGACAUACAUUCAUGAAGUAAAGCAACUGAAAAGUACUGCCAAAUCUAUGAUCUUGAAUCUAGCGACAACAGCGGAAGUUAGAGUUGCAUCAUUCAAGCGAAAGCAUGAUUCCGGUGGCGUCUGUUAAGUUCCUGUGUCUCAAUCGUGUGACUGUUUCAAUUCAUUGCUUUGUUUGACGUAGCCGCUCAUUUGCGGCUAUUAAAUACGCAGAAAAUACUGAUGAAGAAAAUGAAACUGCCAGAAGCUGAACACGGCUUGCAACUUAUUCCUUUUUAUUUCGAAUAUUUGACUCUGUAGCGAGCAAACACAGCCACAUUGGGAACACGACAAAUAAUCUCUUCUCUCCAUCGAGCUGACUGGUCAUCACAGAGAAACGAAAGAUGCACAGGUUAACCAGUAGAGACAAACUCAGCCGGCUGCUCCGCUUAACUCCUCUUAUUUUUGUCAUAGCUGGUUCUGUUUUAAUAAUAGUGGGUAACACUGCUUCCUUAAAAAGCUGUAAAAUUGCUGGUCCUGUGAUCGUAGCUGUCGGCGGAUUGCUACUACUUUUCAUUACAAUCUGGAGUUCACGCCAAGACAAGCUCGUUGAAAACACAAUUUGCGAAGAGGCUGUGAUCGCAGCAGAACGCUACGCCAAUAGAACUGCCUUAAGCGCUGGCUCUAACGAUCAGCUGGGACCGAUUCAUCACUUCGAAGUCAAAACACCGUCGGAAUCAUCUUGCAAAGAAAUGGUACCUCCUUCAUACGAAGAAGCGGUUGACAAUAAUAACGUUAUAGGAAAUUUGCAAGCAAGCAUUGAAGUUGUACCACGUGACGCGAAGGAAUCGAGUUUGGACAACACGACUUCUGCACCACCGUCUUGCGAAGAAAGUCAAGAAAAUGCGAAGACCGCUUGAUAAUUCCACUUAAUGGUUCUUAUAAAUUUACUGUGAAUAAAUUACUCUUUCUUGGAAAUGAAAAACGUGUGGGCCAGGACUGAAAAGGAGAGGGCACAUUGUAUAAGGAAGUAUUUGGCUCUGUUUAUAUCACAAGAAAAUGUGACAAACUUGCAGACAAAGUAAAUUUUAAGUCUUUGGCAGAACAUUGGCAGACUCAGGAAUUGGUUAUAAUGGAGAAAUUAUAGCACUCUAGGAUUUCUGUUUGUUGACGGCUAAAUAGGUUUAAGACCGGUGUAGCUGCAUACUCUACAUCCAAGAUUAUAGCAUCUAACUGAUUUAAACGGAAAGAAAAUAUUCACGGGAAGAUAGUUAACGAUGCAUGUCGUAGGCCCGUUCACAUUGAUUGGUGUAUAAAAGCAAUACAUGUAUUUAAUUUAAACAUAAAAUAUAAUAAACUGUAAUCAGUAUUGACUUAUCUUCAACUGAAUUCGUCGCAAAAUUAAAUAUUGUUAACAAGGUCA